rnacentral:rRNA from 1 species
UACGGGGGGGGCAAGCGUUGUUCGGAAUUACUGGGCGUAAAGCGUGCGCAGGCGGCUUUGCAAGCCAGAUGUGAAAUCCCCGGGCUCAACCUGGGAACUGCAUUUGUGACUGCAUGGCUGGAGUGCGGCAGAGGGGGAUGGAAUUCCGCGUGUAGCAGUGAAAUGCGUAGAUAUGCGGAGGAACACCGAUGGCGAAGGCAAUCCCCUGGGCCUGCACUGGCGCUCAUGCACGAAAGCGUGGGGAGCAAACAGG